rnacentral:rRNA from 1 species
GACGAACGCUGGCGGCGUGCCUAAUACAUGCAAGUCGAACGCACUCUCGUUUAGAUUGAAGGAGCUUGCUCCUGAUUGAUAAACAUUUGAGUGAGUGGCGGACGGGUGAGUAACACGUGGGUAACCUGCCCUAAAGUGGGGGAUAACAUUUGGAAACAGAUGCUAAUACCGCAUAAAACCUAAACACCGCAUGGUGUAGGGUUGAAAGAUGGUUUCGGCUAUCACUUUAGGAUGGACCCGCGGUGCAUUAGUUAGUUGGUGAGGUAAAGGCUCACCAAGACCGUGAUGCAUAGCCGACCUGAGAGGGUAAUCGGCCACACUGGGACUGAGACACGGCCCAGACUCCUACGGGAGGCAGCAGUAGGGAAUCUUCCACAAUGGACGAAAGUCUGAUGGAGCAACGCCGCGUGAGUGAAGAAGGUUUUCGGAUCGUAAAACUCUGUUGUUGGAGAAGAAUGUAUCUGAUUGUAACUGAUCAGGUAGUGACGGUAUCCAACCAGAAAGCC